GACGAACGCUGGCGGCGUGCUUAACACAUGCAAGUCGAACGGAAAGGCCCUGCUUUUGUGGGGUGCUCGAGUGGCGAACGGGUGAGUAACACGUGAGUAACCUGCCCUUGACUUUGGGAUAACUUCAGGAAACUGGGGCUCAUACCGGAUAGGAGCUCCUGCUCCAUGGUGGGGGUUGGAAAGUUUCGGCGGUUGGGGAUGGACUCGCGGCUUAUCAGCUUGUUGGUGGGGUAGUGGCUUACCAAGGCUUUGACGGGUAGCCGGCCUGAGAGGGUGACCGGCGACAUUGGGACUGAGAUACGGCCCAGACUCCUACGGGAGGCAGCAGUGGGGAAUAUUGCACAGUGGGCGGAAGCCUGAUGCAGCAACGCCGCGUGCGGGAUGACGGCCUUCGGGUUGUAAACCGCUUUCGCCUGUGCCGAAGCGUGAGUGACGGUAAUGGGUAAAGAAGCACCGGCUAACUACGUG
rnacentral:rRNA from 1 species